rnacentral:tRNA from 1 species
GCGGAAGUAGUUCAUUUGUUGAACCCCCCCUGGCCAAGGUGGGGGUCGCGGGUUCGAAUCCCGUCUUCCGCUCCA